GACGAACGCUGGCGGCGUGCUUAACACAUGCAAGUCGAACGGUGAAGCUAGAGCUUGCUCUGGUGAAUUAGUGGCGAACGGGUGAGUAACACGUGAGUAACCUGCCCCGAACUCUGGGAUAACUGCUGGAAACGGUAGCUAAUACUGGAUACGACCUACGAAGGCAUCUUCUGUAGGUGGAAAGAAUUUCGGUUCGGGAUGGACUCGCGGCCUAUCAGCUUGUUGGUGAGGUAAUGGCUCACCAAGGCGACGACGGGUAGCCGGCCUGAGAGGGGGACCGGCCACACUGGGACUGAGACACGGCCCAGACUCCUACGGGAGGCAGCAGUGGGGAAUAUUGCACAAUGGGCGAAAGCCUGACGCAGCAACGCCGCGUGCAGGAUGGAGGCCUUCGGGUCGUAAACUGCUUUGGCGCGGGACGAGGAAGGACGCUACCGCGACAACAAGUCACGGCUAACUACGUGCCAGCCGCCGCUGUAA
rnacentral:rRNA from 1 species